rnacentral:rRNA from 1 species
GUGGGGAAUAUUGGACAAUGGGCGAAAGCCUGAUCCAGCAAUGCCGCGUGAGUGAUGAAGGCCUUAGGGUUGUAAAGCUCUUUUACCCGGGAUGAUAAUGACAGUACCGGGAGAAUAAGCUCCGGCUAACUCCGUGCCAGCAGCCGCGGUAAUACGGAGGGAGCUAGCGUUGUUCGGAAUUACUGGGCGUAAAGCGCCCGUAGGCGGCUUUGUAAGUUAGAGGUGAAAGCCUGGAGCUUAACUCCAGAACUGCCUUUAAGACUGCAUCGCUUGAAUCCAGGAGAGGUGAGUGGAAUUCCGAGUGUAGAGGUGAAAUUCGUAGAUAUUCGGAAGAACACCAGUGGCGAAGGCGGCUCACUGGACUGGUAUUGACGCUGAGGUGCGAAAGCGUGGGGAGCAAACAGGAUUAGAUACCCGGGUAGUCC